CUUUGCAAGCUGAGCCUCUAAUGAGCCAUAAUGGCUCAUUAUUGUGUGGAUGGAUUUACUUCUUCGUAAGUGUUAUGAUGCAAAAUAGCACAUUGGGCUUGUUCUGUGAGCAUUUAACAGGUGUUCAGAAGAAUGAUGUCAACUGUUAUUCAUAUUCUUGCUUCGUAUGGAUGGAGUUUCUAACUGAUCUAGGCAAGAAAAACAGACAACUUCCUUGGUACAUAAAUUCUGCAGGGCAGCCUGGGAUUGAAAUGAUUGUUACUUUCUCCAGAAAUGUUGGUUAUGGUUGAGUUAUAAGGAGCACAACAGCACUAGUACUGCAAAUUUAACCUCGACACAUCAGAAGUAACUGAGUGCCAAAGAACCAAUCACAGAUUAUGUUUCUUCAUGUUGUGGAGAUGCCACUCACUUUUAAAUAACUUUUUAAAUACUGAGGACGAAUUGAUGGAACAAUUUGGUGCCUUCUGUCACAUAAAGAGAUUCAGCAGGGAGCAACAGUGAGCACAAAGACAGGAAGAAAACGGAGGCUGAAUCUUUCUUUGGUCCUGGAGCAGAGCACCUGAAAAUGGGUGAAGAGCUUCCUGAAGCCACACUCAAUGGGCAGGAAACACAACCCUGUCCUUUGUAGCUGGCCAAGAACUGCGACCAGGAAAUGUCUAACAAAGCAACAUAAGCAGGGCAGAGGAACAAGUCUGACUCUGUCUCUUCCAGCAACCCAUGCUUGUUUCCAACAUGUUUUUCACUACGACUCUUUUCACACUGACAGCAGUUCCUGCUGAUUUACUAACUCUGCAGGACAGCCAUGCCUUGGACCUGCCUAUCUAUCAUUAAAUCCCUCCAACUGGUAAAUUUUCAUGCAACAUAGCCCCAGUAUUCCAUUAUAGGUCUUGUUUCUAGCCAAGCAUAGUGAGUCUUUAUUUCUGUUAGAUUCAGCUCUAGAGAAAAUGCUCAACUGAAGCUUCCUUGCAAGGAUCUGAGAAACUUACUGCGAGGAAAAUUUACAAAAUCCUCUAAAUUUACACAAAGUUUGUGGAGGUCACCUAGACACUUCAGUCUAAUAACUCCGUUAUGAUUGUGUCUUCUUUGCUUAUUAUGCCCUUCAUAUUCACUAUAUAAUAGAGUUUUCACUUUGAGAUCUGCAAAUAAGCUCAUUCACAUGUUAAACAUUUCAGCCUUCCAGGAUGGCAAUCACUGGAAGACUAGGUAGCUAUUAUUAUGUUUUGACCCACAGAUGAGAACAUUUCUUCAAGCUGAGAAGGCAGUUGCAAAUCACUUGCCUUCUUUUUUUUUUUCUCUAGACUCAGGUGAAUAGAUUUGCAUUAUUGUUGCACUCUUGGAUAUUUUAAUUUUCAAACCAAUGCACUUGAAAGUUUAAAUAACCUUUUUUGUCAUGGUGGGAAUUUACUUAGAUUGUGGGGUUACUUAUAAUUUAGGUAAAGUUCAAAUCACACUGGCAGGCAAGUCUGUUUAAGCGCAACCAUCUGUGACAAAAAAAAGCAGUCACUGCCACCUAAGGCAGCAAACAUGGUACAAAAUAUCACCUUAAUAUGUCCCUCAUUUCUUUUCCCCUUGUCUCCAAAUUGUAUAAAAGUUGCCACAUAAGAAUAUAGGUCACUUAUGCAGGUCUUUUAAAAGGGACCCUUAAUCUUUUAACACAUCAUUUACACAGAAUUGCUCCUGAAGUAAAUCUUUCUAUACCUAAUUGGUGGACAUAUUCCCACUCCUGCUGGGACCUGAUCCAGCCAUCUCAGAUGUCAGCACAGAGACUUUAGGUGUACAAGCUGAAGCAAUCCAUUAUUUAGCAGCAGGCUGGAACCCCUGCUGCAAUGCCACCGCAGCUCGCGUCACGUUGUGAUCUGAGUUUCCUGGAACAAUAACCAUCCAGAGCCAC